AGUGAACGCUGGCGGUAGGCCUGACACAUGCAAGUCGAACGGCAGCACAGUAAGAGCUUGCUCUUACGGGUGGCGAGUGGCGGACGGGUGAGGAAUGCAUCGGAAUCUACUUUUUCGUGGGGGAUAACGUAGGGAAACUUACGCUAAUACCGCAUACGACCUACGGGUGAAAGCAGGGGAUCUUCGGACCUUGCGCGAUUGAAUGAGCCGAUGUCGGAUUAGCUAGUUGGCGGGGUAAAGGCCCACCAAGGCGACGAUCCGUAGCUGGUCUGAGAGGAUGAUCAGCCACACUGGAACUGAGACACGGUCCAGACUCCUACGGGAGGCAGCAGUGGGGAAUAUUGGACAAUGGGCGCAAGCCUGAUCCAGCCAUACCGCGUGGGUGAAGAAGGCCUUCGGGUUGUAAAGCCCUUUUGUUGGGAAAGAAAAGCAGCAGGUUAAUACCCCGCUGUUCUGACGGUACCCAAAGAAUAAGCACCGGCUAACUUCGUG
rnacentral:rRNA from 1 species